GACGAACGCUGGCGGCGUGCCUAAUGCAUGCAAGUAGAACGCUGAAGGAGGAGCUUGCUUCUCUGGAUGAGUUGCGAACGGGUGAGUAACGCGUAGGUAACCUGCCUGGUAGCGGGGGAUAACUAUUGGAAACGAUAGCUAAUACCGCAUAAGAGUAGAUGUUGCAUGACAUUUGCUUAAAAGGUGCAAUUGCAUCACUACCAGAUGGACCUGCGUUGUAUUAGCUAGUUGGUGGGGUAACGGCUCACCAAGGCGACGAUACAUAGCCGACCUGAGAGGGUGAUCGGCCACACUGGGACUGAGACACGGCCCAGACUCCUACGGGAGGCAGCAGUAGGGAAUCUUCGGCAAUGGACGGAAGUCUGACCGAGCAACGCCGCGUGAGUGAAGAAGGUUUUCGGAUCGUAAAGCUCUGUUGUAAGAGGAGAACGAGUGUGAGAGUGGAAAGUUCACACUGUGACGGUAUCUUACCAGAAAGGGACGGCUAACUACGUGCCAGCAGCCGCGGUAAUACGUAGGUCCCGAGCGUUGUCCGGAUUUAUUGGGCGUAAAGCGAGCGCAGGCGGUUAGAUAAGUCUGAAGUUAAAGGCUGUGGCUUAACCAUAGUACGCUUUGGAAACUGUUUAACUUGAGUGCAAGAGGGGAGAGUGGAAUUCCAUGUGUAGCGGUGAAAUGCGUAGAUAUAUGGAGGAACACCGGUGGCGAAAGCGGCUCUCUGGCUUGUAACUGACGCUGAGGCUCGAAAGCGUGGGGAGCAAACAGG
rnacentral:rRNA from 1 species